UACGUAGGGACCAAGCGUUGUUCGGAUUUACUGGGCGUAAAGGGCGCGUAGGCGGCGUGUCAAGUCAAUUGUGAAAUCUCCGAGCUUAACUCGGAACGGUCAAUUGAUACUGAUGUGCUAGAGUGCAGAAGGGGCAAUCGGAAUUCUUGGUGUAGCGGUGAAAUUCGUAGAUAUCGGGAGGAACACCGGUGGCGAAGGCGGCGAUCUGGGUCGAUACUGACGCUGAGGAGCGAAAGCGUGGGGAGCGAACAGG
rnacentral:rRNA from 1 species